rnacentral:rRNA from 1 species
AGAUUGAACGCUGGCGGCAGGCCUAACACAUGCAAGUCGAGCGGUAGAGAGGUGCUUGCACCUCUUGAGAGCGGCGGACGGGUGAGUAAUGCCUAGGAAUCUGCCUAGUGGUGGGGGAUAACGGUUCGGAAACGGACGCUAAUACCGCAUACGUCCUACGGGAGAAAGCGGGGGACCUUCGGGCCUCGCGCCAUUAGAUGAGCCUAGGUCGGAUUAGCUAGUUGGUGAGGUAAUGGCUCACCAAGG